ACGGAGGGUGCAAGCGUUAUCCGGAAUCACUGGGUUUAAAGGGUGCGUAGGCGGUCUUGUAAGUCAGAGGUGAAAUCCCACCGCUUAACGGUGGAACUGCCUUUGAAACUACAAGACUUGAAUUAGGUUGAGGUUAGCGGAAUGAGUCAUGUAGCGGUGAAAUGCAUAGAUAUGACUUAGAACACCAAUUGCGAAGGCAGCUGGCUGAGCCUUAAUUGACGCUGAGGCACGAAAGCGUGGGGAGCGAACAGG
rnacentral:rRNA from 1 species